UCUCGAGGUAAUUGCCUUAGUACGGCGAGUGAAGCGGCAAAAGCUCAAAUUUGAAAUCUGGCACCUUCGGUGUCCGAGUUGUAAUUUGAAGAAGGUAACUUUGGAGUUGGCUCUUGUCUAUGUUCCUUGGAACAGGACGUCACAGAGGGUGAGAAUCCCGUGCGAUGAGAUGCCCAAUUCUAUGUAAAGUGCUUUCGAAGAGUCGAGUUGUUUGGGAAUGCAGCUCUAAGUGGGUGGUAAAUUCCAUCUAAAGCUAAAUAUUGGCGAGAGACCGAUAGCGAACAAGUACAGUGAUGGAAAGAUGAAAAGAACUUUGAAAAGAGAGUGAAAAAGUACGUGAAAUUGUUGAAAGGGAAGGGCUUGAGAUCAGACUUGGUAUUUUGCGAUCCUUUCCUUCUUGGUUGGGUUCCUCGCAGCUUACUGGGCCAGCAUCGGUUUGGAUGGUAGGAUAAUGACUAAGGAAUGUGGCUCUACUUCGGUGGAGUGUUAUAGCCUUGGUUGAUACUGCCUGUCUAGACCGAGGACUGCGUCUUUUGACUAGGAUGUUGGCAUAAUGAUCUUAAGCCACCCGUCUAAAACCCGGGACCAAAAACAAAAUAUAUAAAAAUUA
rnacentral:rRNA from 1 species